rnacentral:rRNA from 1 species
GGGGGCCUACGGGAGGCAGCAGUGAGGAAUAUUGGUCAAUGGGAGAGAUCCUGAACCAGCCACGCCGCGUGAGGGAAGACGGCCCUAUGGGUUGUAACCCUCUUUUGUCGGAGAGCAAAACCCGGGACGAGUCCCGGACUGCGUGUAUCCGAAGAAAAAGCAUCGGCUAACUCCGUGCCAGCAGCCGCGGUAAUACGGAGGAUGCGAGCGUUAUCCGGAUUUAUUGGGUUUAAAGGGUGCGUAGGCGGUCCGUUAAGUCAGCGGUAAAAUUGCGGGGCUCAACCCCGUCGAGCCGUUGAAACUGG